rnacentral:rRNA from 1 species
GCAUAUCAAUAAGCGGAGGAAAAGAAACCAACAGGGAUUGCCUCAGUAACGGCGAGUGAAGCGGCAACAGCUCAAAUUUGAAAUCUGGCCCCAGGCCCGAGUUGUAAUUUGCAGAGGAUGCUUUUGGUGCGGUGCCUUCCAAGUUCCCUAGAACGGGACGCCAGAGAGGGUGAGAGCCCCGUACAGUUGGACACCAAGCCUUUGUAAAGCUCCUUCGACGAGUCGAGUAGUUUGGGAAUGCUGCUCAAAAUGGGAGGUAUAUUUCUUCUAAAGCUAAAUACCGGCCAGAGACCGAUAGCGCACAAGUAGAGUGAUCGAAAGAUGAAAAGCACUUUGAAAAGAGGGUUAAACAGCACGUGAAAUUGUUAAAAGGGAAGCGCUUGUGACCAGACUUGCGUCCGGUGAAUCACCCAGCUCUCGCGGCUGGGGCACUUCGCCGGCUCAGGCCAGCAUCAGCUCGCUGUCGGGGACAAAAGCUUCGGGAACGUAGCUCUCUUCGGGGAGUGUUAUAGCCUGUUGCAUAAUACCCUUCGGCGGGCUGAGGUACGCGCUCCGCAAGGAUGCUGGCAUAAUGGUCAUCAGCGACCCGUCUUGAAACACGGACCAAGGAGUCAACCUUAUGUGCGAGUGUUCGGGUGUCAAACCCCUACGCGUAAUGAAAGUGAACGCAGGUGAGAGCUUCGGCGCAUCAUCGACCGAUCCUGAUGUUCUCGGAUGGAUUUGAGUAAGAGCAUAUAGGGUUGGACCCGAAAGAAGGUGAACUAUGCGUGUAUAGGGUGAAGCCAGAGGRAACUCUGGUGGAGGCUCGCAGCGGUUCUGACGUGCAAAUCGAUCGUCAAAUAUGCGCAUGGGGGCGAAAGACUAAUCGAACCUUCUAGUAGCUGGUUUCCGCCGAA